rnacentral:rRNA from 1 species
GAUGAACGCUGGCGGUAUGCUUAACACAUGCAAGUCGAACGGACUCUUCGGAGUUAGUGGCGGACGGGUGAGUAACGCGUGAGAAUCUGGCUUUGGGUUCGGGACAACCACUGGAAACGGUGGCUAAUACCGGAUGUGCCGAGAGGUAAAAGAGAAAUUGCCUGAAGAUGAGCUCGCGUCUGAUUAGCUAGUUGGUGAGGUAAAGGCUCACCAAGGCAGCGAUCAGUAGCUGGUCUGAGAGGAUGACCAGCCACACUGGGACUGAGACACGGCCCAGACUCCUCGGGGGGGAAGAGGGGGGAAUUUUCCCAAAAGGGGCGAAGGCUGGAGGGAGAAAUCCGGGGGGGGGAAAAAAGCCUUUGGGGUUGAAAACCUUUUUUCGUAGGAAAAAAAAAAAGGACGGUACCUAAGAAACCAGCACCGGCAAACCCCGUC